AUUGAACGCUGGCGGCAGGCCUAACACAUGCAAGUCGAACGGUAACAGAAAGCAGCUUGCUGCUUUGCUGACGAGUGGCGGACGGGUGAGUAAUGUCUGGGAAACUGCCUGAUGGAGGGGGAUAACUACUGGAAACGGUAGCUAAUACCGCAUAACGUCGCAAAACCAAAGAGGGGGACCUUCGGGCCUCUUGCCAUCGGAUGUGCCCAGAUGGGAUUAGCUUGUUGGUGGGGUAACGGCUCACCAAGGCGACGAUCCCUAGCUGGUCUGAGAGGAUGACCAGCCACACUGGAACUGAGACACGGUCCAGACUCCUACGGGAGGCAGCAGUGGGGAAUAUUGCACAAUGGGCGCAAGCCUGAUGCAGCCAUGCCGCGUGUAUGAAGAAGGCCUUCGGGUUGUAAAGUACUUUCAGCGGGGAGGAAGGGAGUAAAGUUAAUACCUUUGCUCAUUGACGUUACCCGCAGAAGAAGCACCGGCUAACUCCGUG
rnacentral:rRNA from 1 species